rnacentral:rRNA from 1 species
GCAGUGGGCAAUAUUUUGACAAUGGGGCGAAAGCCUGAUCCAGCAACGCCGCGUGAGGGAUGAAGGCCUUCGGGUUGUAAACCUCUUUUCCAGCAGGGACGAAGCGAAAGUGACGGUACCUGCAGAAGAAGGACCGGCCAACUACGUGGGA